UGAACGCUGGCGGUAUGCUUAACACAUGCAAGUCGAACGGAAACGAUACUAGCUUGCUAGUAGGCGUCGAGUGGCGGACGGGUGAGUAACGCGUAGGAAUCUGCCUGAUAGUGGGGGAUAGCCCGAAGAAAUUCGGAUUAAUACCGCAUAAUCUAUUCGUAGUAAAGUGGGGGACUUUCGAGCCUCACGCUAUCAGAUGAGCCUGCGUAAGAUUAGCUUGUUGGUAGGGUAAAAGCCUACCAAGGCGACGAUCUUUAGCUGGUCUGAGAGGAUGAUCAGCCACAUCGGGACUGAGACACGGCCCGAACUCCUACGGGAGGCAGCAGUGGGGAAUAUUGGACAAUGGGGGCAACCCUGAUCCAGCAAUACCGCGUGUGUGAAGAAGGCCUGAGGGUUGUAAAGCACUUUCAAUUGUGAAGAAAAGUUAGCGGUUAAUAACCGUUAGCCUUGACGUUAACUUUAGAAGAAGCACCGGCUAACUCCGUGCCAGCAGCCGCGGUAAUACGGAGGGUGCAAGCGUUAAUCGGAAUUACUGGGCGUAAAGCGUGCGUAGGCGGUUUAUUAAGUCAGAUGUGAAAGCCCCGGGCUUAACCUGGGAACUGCAUUUGAAACUGGUCAACUAGAGUAUGGUAGAGGAAAGUGGAAUUUCUGGUGUAGCGGUGAAAUGCGUAGAUAUCAGAAGGAACAUCAAUGGCGAAGGCAGCUUUCUGGACCAAUACUGACGCUGAGGUACGAAAGCGUGGGUAGCAAACAGGAUUAGAUACCCUGGUAGUCCACGCCGUAAACGAUGAUAACUAGCCGUUGGGGGGAUUUACCCUUUAGUGGCGAAGCUAACGCGUUAAGUUAUCCGCCUGGGGAGUACGGCCGCAAGGUUAAAACUCAAAGGAAUUGACGGGGACCCGCACAAGCGGUGGAGCAUGUGGUUUAAUUCGAUGCAACGCGAAGAACCUUACCUGGUCUUGACAUCCUGCGAACUUUCUAGAAAUAGAUUGGUGCCUUCGGGAACGCAGUGACAGGUGCUGCAUGGCUGUCGUCAGCUCGUGUCGUGAGAUGUUGGGUUAAGUCCCGUAACGAGCGCAACCCCUAUCCUUAUUUGCCAGCACAUCAUGGUGGGAACUAUAAGGAGACUGCCGGUGAUAAACCGGAGGAAGGCGGGGACGACGUCAAGUCAUCAUGGCCCUUACGACCAGGGCUACACACGUGCUACAAUGGGAAGGACAAAGAGCCGCGAAGCCGCGAGGUGUAGCUAAUCUCAUAAACCUUUUCGUAGUCCGGAUUGGAGUCUGCAACUCGACUCCAUGAAGUCGGAAUCGCUAGUAAUCGUAGAUCAGAAUGCUACGGUGAAUACGUUCCCGGGUCUUGUACACACCGCCC
rnacentral:rRNA from 1 species